GACGAACCGGACAAACGUUAUUCGGAAUUACUGGGCUUAAAGGGUUUGUAGGCGGCCUUGAAGUCAGGUGUGAAAUCCCUCGGCUCAACCGAGGAAUGGCGCUUGAUACUGCACGGCUUGAGGGAGACAGGGGUAAGCGGGAACUGAUGGUGGAGCGGUGAAAUGCGUUGAUAUCAUCAGGAACACCGGUGGCGAAGGCGGCUCACUGGCUCGUAUCUGACGCUCAGGCGCGACGCGUGGGGAUCAAACAGG
rnacentral:rRNA from 1 species